UCUAAGAACGUCGGCUCCUCUGAUGCUGGGACUUACUACUGUGCUGUGGCCACAUGUGGGGAGAUAUUAUUUGGAAAUGGAACUACACUGGAUGUUCAAGAGAAAACAACACAACUGGUAUUUAUUGGAAUUGUAAUAUUAAUAACCUGUUUUGCCAUUUCGGUCAUUGGAAAUCUUUUCUUCAUCUGCAACCGAAGAGUAUGCAAAAAAUGUAAAGAAAUAAAAAGUGAUACAACAGAAGUACAAACUGACAACUUGUACCAACCAACUGAAGCUGAUGAUGAUAUAAACUAUGCUGCGCUCAGUUUCUCUGAAAGAAAAACACAAGGAAGAAGGACAAGAGAGCAUACCGAGGACACUGUUUUCUCUUAAAUGUUGAGUUUAAUGAAUAUGACAUUGUUGAGCAUCUCCUUAAUAUUAAAAUAAAC